UGAGGGGCAGUGAUAGAAAGGA
rnacentral:miRNA from 1 species